GAUGAACGCUGGCGGCGUGCCUAAUACAUGCAAGUCGAGCGAACAGAUAAUGAGCUUGCUCCUUUGACGUUAGCGGCGGACGGGUGAGUAACACGUGGAUCACCUACCUAUAUGUCUGGGAUAACCUCGGGAAACCGGAUCUAAUACCAGAUAAUAUCUUGCACCGCAUGGUUCAAUGGAGAAUGGCGGCUUUGCUGUCUCUUAUAGAUGGUUCCGCGCCGUAUUGGCUGGUUGGUAAGGUACCAGCUUACCAAGGCGACGAUUCGUAGCAGACCUGAGCGGGUGAUCGGCCAAACUGGAACUGAGCCACGGUCCAGACUCCUACGGGAGGCAGCAGUAGGGAAUCGUACGCAAUGGGCGAAAGCCUGACGCAGCAACGCCGCGUGAGUGAUGAAGGUCUUCGGUUCGUAAAACUCUGUUAUGGGGGAAGAACAGAUGUGUAAGUAGCUGUGGCCAUCGUGACGGUACCUGAUCAAAAAGCCACGGCUAACUACGUG
rnacentral:rRNA from 1 species